GUAAACAUGUCUGAUUAGUCAGAACUAUUUCAGACAUACAAUGAGUGCACCUGUUAGGCAUUUCUUGUGAUGGUCUCGUGAGGAUUGUGCGUUUCUAGGUUUCACAUCUUGUCACUGAGAGGCAGCAGAAGUUUUGGCCCAGUACAGACAGUCUCAUCUAGCCUUAAGGAACCCUGAAGACUAUUUUGACUGUAGAAUCCGCGUUCCCAGACACAAGUAUAUUGUCCUUGAGUUCCAUUCCACUUGUGAGAGACUGGUGUCCUGUUAGCGUGUGAAUGCAGUUGCCCGUCUCCACAUCCCAAACUCGGAUGGAAGUGUCAAGAGAUCCACUCACCACAUGGAUGCCAUCAAACUACAAGAAAGUUUAUACUUUUAAAAGCCUUUUCAGGCAAGAACAGAAAUGAGAAGGCAUUCAUAUUAAUGGCCUUGAUAAAGAAAAAAAAACCCUCAUCAUUCUUCAAAGAAGAAAUGCAACCAGCAGGCACCCUGUCAACAGCUCCGUACCACAGCCAAGUAAAAGAGCUUUGCCAAUGUUCGCUGAAUCAAGACAUGGUUUACUACUGCUGAAGUUAUGGUAUAAUUGGUCCAAAUCGAAAUAAAAUACUGCAAUGCUGAAACUUAAAAGUCGUUCUAUCAAAGUCUGUAACACUGACAAAAAAGGAGAAAGUACUCGAGAGUAUGGGAGACUGAAUCACAGCAUCACAAAGAAUUAGUUUUGAAACAACGGAGAAUGUGACUUUACGUGACUCAAUUUUUCUGUUCUUUCAUUAACAGCCUUCUGCUUUUGCU